CAUCGAUGAAGAACGCAGCGAAAUGCGAUAAGUAAUGUGAAUUGCAGAAUUCAGUGAAUCAUCGAAUCUUUGAACACACCUUGCGCUCCUUGGUAUUCCGAGGAGCAUGCCUGUUUGAGUGUCAUGGAAUUCUCAACUCUAUUUGCUUUUGUGAAUAGAGCUUGGACUUGGAGGUAUUGCCGGACUUCAUUGUUUCGGCUCCUCUUGAAUGCAUUAGCUCGAACCUUUGUGGAUCAGCUUCGGUGUGAUAAUUGUCUACGCCGCUCUGUGAAGCAUACAUUAUGGGUUUCGGCUUCCAAUAGUCCUUCACUGGACAAUACACUAUGACCUUUGACCUCAAAUCAGGUAGGGUUACCCGCUGAACUUAAGCAUAUCAAUAAGCGGAGGA
rnacentral:rRNA from 1 species